GCGCUGCGUUCGUUCCGUAUGUUGAAUAGGGAAGGCGUAGGACAUACAGCACUUGCAAGGUGAUCAUUUGUAUUUAUAAAGCAUCAGGCAUCAGGGCUAAAGUGGAGAGAACAAAGACACAGUUAGGAAGUUUUGUUCAUCCACAUUCUUCACAACUUCCCAUUCUUUUCUCCUCUUGUCGCUAGUAAAGCAGUAAAGACUGACAUCGCUUCUCUUGUGGCGCAUCGACUGGAAAUUACAACCAAAAGUUGCACAAUGUGGCAUCGUAUAUUAUAUUCCGAGUUGUGUUGCGGUAAAAAUAGCAACAGGGUAGUGUCAGUAGCUCACCAAGAGCAACCAUUUGACGUCACCGACAUACGCACUGUACGACUAAACAAAAAGGCGCCCCCCUUUGUCCAAAUAUGUCAUGGAUUUUUAAAAUAACGUAAAUCUUUCAUGGGUUUUCUACUACAUAUUUCAGUAAGAGACAUCAUUUGAGUUAUUUUAAGCCAUACAAGUCUUAAUACCAGGGGUUCCCUUUAAAUUGAUGAAAAAUGACAGUGAAGGCUUGACAAAACAUUGUGUCAAAAGAUUUCUCUUUUAAAUAAAUGCUGUUCUUUUGGACUUCUAUUCAUCAAAAAAUCCUGAGAAAAGUCUUAUCUCUUAGCAGACCUAAGCAGGCGGAGCGCGCUGCGGGACUAGCCCACAAUAAACACUGAACCAGACUAUUUAAAUGUUGAGCAAGAAACCUUAUUGGCUGCAGAAUCAGCAGAGGCCAAUCAGCUCGUGCCAUUCAGUAAUGAUGUGAUUGCUUAAACUGAGCCCUCUAGAGUUUCAUGACUGAACUAGAUAUUUAUUUAUUCCCUAGAUAUUAAUUUAUAUUUAUUUAAUGUUUUUAUUUUUAAAAACCUGCAAUACUACAGGCUACAGAUACACUGAUGAAACUACCCCCACUCUAAAUGUCUGGCUCAUUGUUUACCCUUGUACACCUGUCAUUAUUAAUGAAACUGCAUUAUUAAUUAAGCCAAAUGUGCUUGGAUCCAUGCUGUUGCACCACACCUUUUACUGAUACCUGCAAGCUUCAUUCAGUAUUCAGUAUUCAUGCCAUGCCAAAACCACUAUUCAGACAGCUGCGCCUCUGCUCUAACAGACAGUGUUAAUGAAACUCUCUAUUGCUGAUAGUAUUUACACUAGUUUUACUCCCAUAGGAUCCACCCAAGCAGAGCACACAUGACAGAGCAUUUGAUUAUGUCGCAUGACUUGGGCACAUUUGCAAAUUAGCUACGUUGUGUGUACAUGAGUCACUGCAAAAAAAAAAAAAAAAAAGUUCUUCCUCUUUAUUUUUGUUUUAUUUUCCAGUACAAAUAUCUAAACAUUCUUAAAUCAAGACACAUUUACUUCAGAAGCAAAAUAGCAUAAGGUAACAAGUCUUGUCUUCUAAAAAAAAAAAAAAAUGUAUCAAAGUUAAGUGACUUCACUCUUAAAACAAGAAAAUAAAAAUGUCUGCCAAUGGGGAAAUAAAGAAAAAUAAACUUCUUUCCCCUUAAAUUUAUGUUUUUAUUAUCUCAUUGGCAGAUAUGUUUUCAGGAAGCUUUGGAGCGUUAUGAAUCAGCGUGUCGAAACAUGAUUCGGAUCGCAUGUCAAACCGCCAAACUGCUGAAAUCACGUGACUUUGGCGCUCCGAAACGCUGAUUCAUAACGCUCCGAAGCUUCAUGAAGCAGUGUUUUGAAAUCGGCCAUCACUAUAUAAGUCAUUAUUUUGUUUUUUUGGCGCACCAAAAAUAUUCUCGUCACUUUAUAAUAUUAAUAUUGAACCACUGUACUCACAUGAACUGAUUUAAAUAUGUUUUUAGUACGUUAAUGGAUCUUGAGAGAGGAAAUGUCAUUGCUGGCUAUGCAGGCCUCACUGAGCCAUCGGAUUUUAUCAAAAAUAUCUUAAUUUGCGUUCCGAAGAUGAAUGAAGGUCUUAUGGGUGUGGAACGGCAUGAGGGAUGGACAAAAAGAAAGAGAGGAGGAGGAAGAAGAGAGAAAGAGGAAUGCAGAUGGAAGUGGGUUGAGGCAGCAGGGCGCUGUUAUUUCCUCCGCAGUGUGUGUGCAUUGUUCCGAAAACAGCUGUCUGGAGCGCUCGGGCCAGCAUGGAGGAUUGCCUUUCCUGCUGUCCCCUCCCUAACUUUCCCCGGUUGUUUUGGAAACCACAGCACACAUGGUUUGUUAGGUAUGCAGGGGGCAUCUGAUAUGGGAGGCUUGAUUUCACUCAUCUUCAGUUUUACCCGUCCAUACUGAUGUCACAACAACGAGGUGUCGCCGUAACGGAAAUGGUUUUACUGUGAUGUUGUGGACAGAGGUGAAGGAGAAGUGAGGGAAAAAAAAGGAAUAAGAAGACAACAAACCUGUUACAAUUACCUGUGCACACCUGCAAACUGUACUUCUGCCCUCUACUGUAAUAAAUGGGAAGUGUAAUGAACUACCACCAGAAGGCCAUCAUAUGAUUAUUUGCUGUAACAAUGAUUGUGUACUUCAGAUAUUAAAUUAAUAAAGGCAUACAAACAGUCAUAAAUAAAUGUUCUACAGUGCUGCUUGUUCCACUCAGGGUAUCUGCAGAGUUUUUAAAGCGUUCAAAUUUAAGAUUUUUGAUGACCUUUUUAAAAAAUAAUAUCACUCAAGAUGUGUUUAAUUCUGUAUAUACAUAUGUAUAUGUUCUAAUACAUCAGUACAUACAAAUUAGAGGUUGAGCAGUAUUGGAUUUUGUUGAUACAAUGUGCUUAAAAUUGCUGAUACUAGUAAAAUCUAUAUAUUGAAUAAUGUUAACAUAUUACAAUAUAAACACCAUAAAGUAAACAGCCAUAAUUAAUCAAACUAUUUACAACUGCUUGGUAUAAAUGUGCAGUAUUCAAUGAUUGCAAACUGUUCUGAAACCGAGGGCUUGUAGAAUGUGCAAGAGCGUCUUGUUUUGACUCUGAAUGUGUAUUUAUUUAAUGAAAUCACUGCCUUUUAUUAAUAGUUUAAUAAUCACACUAGGCUGUUUCACGGUUUUUGUUUUUCUGUCCCCAAAUUUACGACAUUUUGAGACUUUUUAAGGACAUGCAGGAAUCCUGUCCAAGAACCAUAUUUCACUCUAUUUUGUCCUUAUGUGGUUCUUUGAACAGUUUUUUGGUUCUGGCUUCUGUAAAGCAACGGUACCCUGUAUACUCAGAAAAAUAAAUAUUUGGCUUAACUUGA